rnacentral:rRNA from 1 species
GAAUUUUGGGCAAUGGGCGAAAGCCUGACCCAGCAACGCCGCGUGAGGGAUGAAGGCCCUCGGGUCGUAAACCUCUGUCGGGAGGGAAGAACGGUUGCCGUUCGAAUAGGACGGCAGCCUGACGGUACCUCCAAAGGAAGCACCGGCUAACUCCGUGCCAGCAGCCGCGGUAAUACGGAGGGUGCGAGCGUUGUUCGGAAUCAUUGGGCGUAAAGCGCGUGUAGGCGGCUUGGUAAGUCGGGCGUGAAAUCCCGGGGCCCAACCCCGGAACUGCAUUCGAAACUACCUCGCUAGAGUCCCGGAGAGGAAGGCGGAAUUCCCGGUGUAGAGGUGAAAUUCGUAGAUAUCGGGAGGAACACCAGCGGCGAAGGCGGCCUUCUGGACGGUGACUGACGCUGAGACGCGAAAGCGUGGGGAGCAAACAGG